CUAGCGACACACCGGCCUCGCCACCACCCACUCGCUCGCCUUGAAUGGCCGCCGCCGCGGUCAGCUCGGGCACGGCACUGCCCAGGCCACCCGAGCCAGCCAGCGCGACCCCGUGGUAAAUACGGACGACCACCGUCCGUACCUAACCGCGCCGGCCACUCCUACCUCGCCACCGCCCGCGCUUUCCCAUCAAUGGCCGCCGCCGACGUGUUCAUCUCUGGAACCCGCGGCACUGCCCUCCCUCCCUAUAAAAAGCCACCCAAGGCCCUCGAACAGCACCAUCUCACUCUCCCUCUCCCUCAAUGACCCACCCGUUGCAGCAACACGACCAGAGGAGGUCGUCUUCUCCGAUUCCGGCGACUACUGCCGCCGCCACUGUUCGGAUGAAUCCGACGCUGUCCGACCCUCCCUCUCACAAGUUUCUCCACCACUAGCCUCCUUGAGGACCCAUUGAUCUAUCCCCGCACUCGAUUUUGCCCAGGAGCCACCAUAGGCGAAACGCCCAAUUCGUCUCCGCCGGAGCUCCUCGGGUGAGCUCGCCGCCGGCGACCCCCUCCACUCCAGCGACCAAGGAGGGUACCCACGUGUUCGCCUCAACCUCCUGAGCUCGUAGGUGGCCUCGGUUUUCCAAACGGUGCCGCGGUUCGCCGGCGCCGACCGCCGGAGCUCCGCCUCUGUUCAGCCAGAGAAGGAGGCGCGCGCAUGGACUGGUCAAACCUGACCAGUGGGCCCGGCGGGACCACUGUCAGUGACACAGCGCCGCGCCAGCUCGUCUUAAGUGGAGACGGGUUCCGUUGAAGUUGCUUUACUGCGGGGAAAGCGUAUUAUGGCGAGUGCGCCUUCGAUGUCGCAGCCCUCCCGCGCGGUCGAGCGAUUGGGCUUGGCCCAGUACCACCAGGCGGCUAUACCACGCCUAGGGCGCGUUUCUGCUCAGCCCAUCAGAGUAAUAUCUGUUCUUUUUUCUUUUCCAGCAGAUUUCAAAUAAUUCCACAAUAGCCAUUUCACAUCCGAAUUCGAUUAUUCAAAUUUCCAACUACUUCAAAAAUCAUGCUCUAUUUAUCUAGAUAGGGUGAACAUUUUUCCUAGUCCUGGUUUUUGCUGGAUCUACUAAAUAGUCCAUUUUCCUUUAAUAUUCCAGCUUAGUAAAUCCAUAGGAAAAUCAUAUGAACUCCAAAUUACUUGAUUCUUUUUCUGUUAUUUUUCAAAUUUCACCUAGUUUAUUUUAGUAUUUAUUUCAAAAUUUUACAAACAACUUUUAUGUGCUGUUUUAGAAUUAUGUGGUAAUUAUAAUAUUUUGAAAAUAGGAAAUGGAGGGGAGAUAUAAUUUUCAAAGUUUUGGAGUGCGCCUAAUCUUUCUGCAUGCUCAAGGAAAGCAUCUUGAACAAAUGAUAUGGUGAAUGCAUAGUGUUUGUUUGCAUGUAGAAUUGAAUUAUGAAUAUAUUCAACUCAUAUGAAAUUUGCGUAGUAUUGGUCAUACAUGCAUGAUUCCCCUUGAUGAUAUUCUAUCUCCAUUUUAACAUGAAGUAUGAGUGAGUAUGGUGAUUUUCAUGUACCGUAUAUGCCUGUGUUGGUCCAGGCUAAUUUGCAAGAAGAAUCAGUCACGAGAAAAGUGACCGUGAGACUGAAAUCUCGUUGUGACGAGAAUGAUCAGUGAGGGUCUGUUGAGACAUACUAGGUGGUGACCCUGUUGGGUACUGCCAAGGAAUUGUAUUGUGCUGACCAUUGCAGGGAAACUUAAACCUCCUGAGUUGACCGUAGAUCGAGUCUUGUUCCGGUAACCCCCAUACUUGAUUCGUGCUACCACAUGUCCUUGCCAAAGGUAGGGUAUGGUUCAGUAAGUUGAUAACCCCUUUCCUGCACACACCGUACAGAGAGGCCAUAGGGAAUGAUACUAUUGGCCCCAGUAGUCAUGUCACUUGGUCCGGGGGCAUGAAUGGCCGGUCUGGGACCGAAGCUGAAUGUUCAUGCUGUUGGAGGCCGUUGCAUGAGGCCUUCCCACUUAGAGUUUUACUUUAUCAUUGUUUUGGGUGAUCCUUGGCUUGAUGGAUUAAAGCUGGUAUGUGCGGGUCAGGUGUGUUUUCAUCCCAAAGACCGUAAUCGGAAUUAGUCAACGUCUCGGGGUUGACUAAAGAAGUCCUUUACUUGUGGGUAAAGAGUACACCCUCUGCAGAGUUAUAUCUAUUCGAAUAGCCGUGGCCAUGGUUAAGGACUACAGUCUAGGUUGGUCAAGUGUCGGUCUUAGUGUCAGUCUCCAGAGGAAAUAAUUAAAUUGAUCAUGGUUCGUCCAGCAGGGUAAUUACUGUCACUGCUGGUGCUGUUAUGAAUAUUAUUGUUGACAUGAAUAUUGUUGUGGACUAACCGUUUCCUCUUAUAUGCAACUAUGAGUAUCUCUUGGGAUGGCUAGUCCACCUGAAUGCUCAUGUUAUUUUCUUAUAAGCCCUUUAUGAGGCGUCGCUUCAGACACCCGACUAUAGCGUGUAUUUUCAAGACCUCUCGCGGCGUCGCUUGAGUUCUUGGGCGGUCCUGUCUCGCCCGAUUCUCUUUUAGACGCCCGUUUGGCAUUUCUCUUGGAAUUUCUCGGGCGGUCCAAUGCCCGACGUUCCAUUUCAUUUCUUUGAUUUACUAAUAACAUGACUUAUUUAUCCUUCCGCACCUCUAUACGCGUUGUGGAAGGCGCAGAACAGUCGGCUGCCAUUGGAUGACUCGGGAUGGUCCCGACCGCGCUUCAUAUCAGGCUCCGCCGCGAGGACGGCCACUCCUUUGCGCUUCACAUCCUUGGCCUUGGCUUUCUUCUCUUCUGGGUCGGCAGCUUCAAGAGCCGUGCAUAGCUCCUCGUGGAUGGUAAGCUUCUCCUUCAUCUUGACGUCGCGGAAGCCAUCGGAAAACGCCGAAAUGAUGGCCUCGUCCGUCACCUUGGGGAUCUUGAGACGAACAUUGUUGAAGCGCUGGAUGUACUUCUGCAAGGUCUCUCCAGCCUGCUGCUUGAUACGGUGCAGGUCACCUGCGGCCGGAGGGCGGUCGCGAGUGCCCUGGAAGUUGGCGAUGAAGCGGUCGCGCAUCCUAUCCCAGGAGGAGAUCGAGCCUGAGGGCAGGUUCAGGAGCCAUGGGGAACCAGUUCGCCAUGACCUUUUCGUCGCCGUUGGCCACCUCGAUGCUCAGCUUGUAGAGCUGCAAGAACUCCGCAGGGUCGGGGGUGCCGUCGUAGCGAGGAGGCAGAUCCGGCUUGAACUUGCCCGACCAGACGACGCCACGCAGCUCAGGGGUGAAGGCGCGGCAACCGGCCGUGGCCACCGGGCCCUGUCGUGGAGGCGGAGCUUUAUCUUGGUGUCCCCGCGCUGCCACGGCAAGUGGCGCGUGGCCCCGCUGUGCCAAGCGAUCCUGACAUGGCGGUGCUGGGAGCGGUGGAGCGUUUUCUUGCGGUCGGGGUACUUCUUGGCAGCUUCCUUCUUCCCGCGCGGGUGCCCGGCGCGGCGGGUCGUACCGAGGGGCCGCGCGUCUUGGCGCCAGAGCGCCGUCUUGGUGCAGAGGUGGCGGAGGUGCUCCGUGAGCUACGUCGCCCGCAGUUGGCGGAGGGCGAGGCAUCGAGAGGGAUGGCGUGGGGGAGCCCCCAGUGGCGCUGACGAGCUCGGCGAUGCGGUCCAACCAGUCCUCGUAGAGGUCGUCGACCGGGCGGUAGCGCAGGAGCUCGCGUGCCAUGAGCAGCGCGGCCUGCGCGUCUAUGGGAGCGCGGCGAGCGUGAGACGACGAGCCGGCUGGGGUCAGCGAUGGAGUGGCGGUGCGGCCAUCCCGCUGCACGGAGGGGUGCAGAGAGGAUGCUUGCUGCUCAUUUCCCGCCGGACCGAUGGCGGCGUUGGCGGCGGGUGACGGAGAAUGACAGGGAGGCCCGCCGACAGGGGCUGUCUGAGCGACACGGGUGGCGAGAGGACCUUUUCGGCAAGGGGACCGACCUUCGUCUCGGUAGCAGAAACAUCGGCGCCCGAUGGAAACCUCUUGAAGCCAUCAGAGAGGUUGAGGUCCCGGUGGCGGUAAGAAAAGUUGCUCAAGACCAGGAAGAGGGCAUCGCGAGCAAGCUUCUGGGACUUGUUCUCAAAGCAACUGCCCAGUCGUCCUCCUACAUCUUCAACCCUUUGAUCAGGCCUUCAAAGUAGAGUGUUAGCUUGACGAUUGGGACCUCAUGCCUGCCAACGGAAAAGUCCCAACUCUUCAUGUCCAUCGUUGUGAUCUGGGUAGUGAGGCGCUCAGCGAUGUCAACCAAAUUCUUAAUCCAGAGGUCACGCUGCUCGAUUUGAUUCACCAGUUUGUCCUCUGCAUCUUUUUGGAGAGUUCUUGCAUUGUCCAAGUCCUUCAUCGGCAACUUCUCGCGGACGGCGGCAGAUUUGAUCUCACUCACCAAGGUGCCAAGCCGUGCCCUCAUAUCAGUAAUGGUGUUGUUGGCAGUGUCAAGGUCCUGGCUCUUGGAGGAAAGCUGCGAUCGCACCUCAUUCAGGGCAGCCUCUCCCUUCUGCGCUUGCUCUUUGAGGGCCAUGACUUCCUUGUUGCUCCCGGCAAGGUCCUCCGUCAGCUUGGCCACAUGUUGAUCAUGGUCACAUUUGGCAACAGAUGCAUAGGCAAGCUCAUCGGUAACCUUCUUCAACUGAGUAGUAGAGUCAAGGGUGAGCGUGUCAAGAGCCACCUUGUUAUUAUCCUCUAAGUAUUUGGUGCACUGCUAGACAAGGGCCUCCAGUUCUUCAUCCUUGCCGCAGAGGGUAGCUUCAAGGUUCCCUUCCCGGGAAGAGAUGUCCUUCUCCUUGGCAUUCAGAAGCGCUUCGCGCUCCGCCAAACGGACCUCCCUGGAAGCGAUGUCCUCCUUGGCCAUGGUUAUCACUUCAUGUUUCCGUUGAAGGGAUUGGAACUGCUUGUUGUGCCAUUCACGCAGUUUGCUGCCUUUGUCCCUGAACUUAUGAUCCAUGAGGCCAACAGAGUCACGUUGUGUCGGAUUACGGGUUCCGGCAAAACCCUUGAGGUUCGAACACUGGGGUGUGCACGAAGAUCUCUCCUCCCUCUAGCUCGCACGCAUCAUGAUCUCACGGCCUAGCUUGACGAACCCAAAGAACAAGGGGACACAAGGUUUAUACUGGUUCGGGCCACCGUUGUGGUGUAAUACCCUACUCCAGUGUGGUGUGGUGGAUUGCCUCUUGGGCUGAGGAUGAACAGUUACAAGGGAAGAAUAGCCUCCUGAGGAGAGGUGCUCUUGUGCUUGGUGAGCUUGUGGAUGAGGAUGAUCUGAAUCCGUUCGAGUUCUCUCCCAGGUCAGUUGCCAGCUACGGUUGUGGCUAGCCCUAUUUAUAGAGGCCCUGGUCCUCUUCCCAAUAUUGAGCGGGAAGGGAUCCCACAACGGCCAAAUUUAAAGGGGGACAACUAGUACAAGUUAUCCUCACAAAAGUAGUCUUCGCCUGCCAAAGGCUCUGGUGGUGACGCCGUCUUGGGCUCCACGAUGACCUCCAUCCUGCCGUCCUUCUGGUCUUGGUCUUGUUGCACCGAUAUGGAAACCUUUGCUUGAUGCCUCGGGACUCCUCGCCUGCGCUUGCCCCUUUAGCACCAAAGAGGAAACAAGGACACUGUGCGCGCUGGCGCCCUCUUGGCGCCCACCUGGCAUUGGUCGUCAUGGCUUAUGUCAUAGGAACCUCGCGAGGUUCCCCUUGCCUUAAUCUCUCCGCCCCUCGUGAGCCAGCCUGGUGAGGCUGCCCCCGAGGAGGUCUUGUGUCAUCCGCCUCGCGAGGCUUGGCCCCUCGCGAGGGUCUUGAGUGUUUGCUGGUGAAGAUGGACUGUACGGGGCCGCUGGUGGAGCCACGCCGUGGGCCGCAGGCAGGCAACUCUGGGGACCCCCGUUCCCAGAACGCCGACACGUUGCUCCUUCAUCGUCUGCCACUUCAGGAUGUAUCUGCUCUGCACGUCCUUGAUCCCUGCAGCCAUGGAUUUAAAGAUGGACAAGUCCAUGGCCACUGCUACCUCUUGAGCAUGCGUUGGUUUUCCCUUGAAGAGGAAAGGGUGAUGCAGCAAAGUAGCAUAAGUAUUUCCCUCAGUUUUUGAGAACCAAGGUAUCAAUCCAGUAGGAGACUACACGCAAAUCCAUAGUACCUGCACAAACAAUCAAGAACCUUGCAACCAACGUGAUAAAGGGGUUGUCAAUCCCUUCACGGCCACUUGCAAAAGUGAGAUCUGAUAAAGAUAAUAAGAUAAAUAUUUUUGGUAUUUUUGUUGUAUAGAUUGAAAAGUAAAGAUUGCAAAAUAAACGGCGACAGAAAUAGCUAGUUGGCGGGAGAUUAAUGUGAUCGAAGAUAGACCCCGGGGCCAUAGGUUUCACUAGUGGCUUCUCUCAAGAUAGCAAAUUCUACGGUGGGUGAACAAAUUACUGUCGAGCAAUUGAUAGAAAAGCACAUAGUUAUGAGAAUAUCUAGGCAUGAUCAUGAAGAUAGGCAUCACGUCCGUGACAAGUAGACCGAAACAAUUCUGCAUCUACUACUAUUACUCCACACAUCGACCACUAUCCAGCAUGCAUCUAGAGUAUUAAGUUCAUAAGAAUAGAGUAAUGCAUUAGGCAAGAUGACAUGAUGUAGAGGGAUAAACUCAAGCAAUAUGAUAUAAACCCCAUCUUUUUAUCCUCGAUGGCAACAAUACAAUACGUGCCUUGCUGCCCCUGCUGUCACUGGGAAAGGACACCGCAAGAUUGAACCCAAAGCUAAGCACUUCUCCCAUGGCAAGAAAGAUCAAUCUAGUAGGCCAAACCAAACUGAUAAUUCGAAGAGGCUUGCAAAGAUAUCAAAUCAUGCAUAUAAGAAUUCAGAGAAGAAUCAAAUAUUGUUCAUAGAUAAUCUUGAUCAUAAACCCACAAUUCAUCGGAUCUCGACAAACACACCGCGAAAAGUAUUACAUCGAAUAGAUCUCCAAGAGAAUUGACGAGAACUUUGUAUUGAGAUCUAAAGAGAGAGAAGAAGCCAUCUAGGUAAUAACUAUGGACCCGAAGGUCUGUGGUAAACUACUCACGCAUCAUCGAGAGGCCAUGGUGUUGAUGUAGAAGCCCUCCGUGAUCGAUUCCCCCUUCAGCGGAGCGCCGGAAAAGGCCCCAAGAUGGGAUCUCACGGGUACAGAAGGUUGAGGCGGUGGAAAUAGGGUUUCGUGGUGCUCCUGGAUGUUUUCAGGGUAUAUGAGUAUAUAUAGGCAAAAGAAGUAGGUCGGUGGAGCUACGAGGGGCCCACGAGGGUGGGGGCACGCCUACCCCCUGGGCGCGCCCUCCUACCUCGUGGCCACCUCGUGGCUUCCUUGACGUCCACUCCAAGUCUCCCGGAUUGCGUUUGUUCCAAAAACGAUCCUCGCAAAGGUUUCAUUCCAUUUGGAUUCUCUUUGAUAUUCCUUUUCCGCGGAACACUGAAAUAGGCAAAGAAAACAACAAUUUGCACUGGGCCUUCGGUUAGUAGGUUAGUCCCAAAAAUAAUAUAAAAGUGCAAAUUGAAGCCCAUUAAACAUCCAAAACAGAUAAUAUAAUAGCAUGGAACAAUAAAAAAUUAUAGAUACGUUGGAGACGUAUCAAGCAUCCCCAAGCUUAAUUCCUGCUCGUCCUCGAGUAGGUAAAUGAUAAAAACAGAAUUUUUGAUGUGGAAUGCUACCUAACAUAAUUUUCUAUGUAAUUCUCUUUAUUGUGGCAUGAAUGUUCAGAUCCGAAAGAUUCAAGAUAAAAGUUUAGUAUUGACAUAAAAAUAAUAAUACUUCAAGCAUACUAACUAAGCAAUUAUGUCUUCUCAAAAUAACAUGCCAAAAGAAAGCUCAUCCCUACAAAAUCAUAUAGUUUGGUCAUGCUUCAUUUUCGUCACACAAAAAUGCUCUCAUCAUGCACAACCCCGAUGACAAGCCAAGCAAUUGUUUCAUACUUUAGUAUUUCUCAAACCUUUUCAACUUUCACGCAAUACAUGAGCGUGAGCCAUGGACAUAGCACUAUGGGUGGAAUAUAAUAUAAUGACGGGGGUUGUGUGGAGAAGACAAAAAAGGAGAAAGUCUCACAUUGACGCGGAUAAUCAACAGGCUUGGUAGAUGCCCAUCAAUUGAUGUCAAUGCAAGGAGUAGGGAUUGCCAUGCAGCGGAUGCACUAGAGCUAUAAAUGUAUGAAAGCUCAACAAAAGAAACUAAGUGGGUGUGCAUCCAACUUGCUUGCUCACGAAGACCUAGGGCAUUUGAGGAAGCCCAUUGUUGGAAUAUACAAGCCAAGUUCUAUAAUGAAAAAUUCCCACUAGUAUAUGAAAGUGAAAAAAUAAGAGACUCUCUAUCAUAAGAUCAUGGUGCUACUUUGAAGCACAAGUGUGGAAAAAGGAUAGUAUCAUUGUCCCUUCUUUUUCCUUUUUGGGCCUUUUUUGGCCUUUCUUUUAUUUCCUUUUUUUAUUUGGCCUUUCCUUUUUUUGGCCUUUCC
rnacentral:rRNA from 1 species